rnacentral:lncRNA from 1 species
CAUGAUCGUUAACUAUUUUCUAACAAAUGCAACCUUCGAGCAAAUCCUCGCGAUCGAGAAGCGCGAGCGCGAUUCAUGAGAAAGAUACGUAGUUUGUUAUCUUAUUAAAUAUCAUAUGACCUUAAACUACUUGGUAGCUGGCUCCGGCCCUUACCUACAUAUUGCAUUCUCGAGUACCCUCUAGGUAAGUUCUCUUUCAAUCUUCUUAUGCAGCCUCUCUGCUCCUCUUAGGCAUCUUCUUAUUUUCUAAGAGCUGUGUUUGACUUAAUUUGAGGGUCCUUUGCCGAACACACUCUGAUGGUCGUACUUUUUUAUUUUUUUAUUUUAGGUUGGAGCCAAUAUUGGGGCAUUGGUUGAAAUAGUUGCUUCACCGUCCAACACCAACUCAAGGGUGCUCGGCAUUAAGAUCAUCGGCAAUCGAGUGCAGCAGCCACCGGACCACUGUCGUGGAGGUAUACAACAACCCCAUCUGAUCUUUUUGAUUCGGACGGUGGACAUGCCAAGAUCUCCAGGAACCUUGUUAACUCAGUAACUUGGUCAGGCCAGUUCCGAACAGCAACUGGGUGCUAGAGGGACUUGAUCCCUUCUUUUGAGGUCUGAUUGAUCAAGCAGGACACACAUAGCUAUGAAGUCAAGGAGAACAUAGGCGGAGACCGUAGUCACCUAGCAAAAUAUAACCUUGAAGUCUGACAAACUCUUUAUGCUUAUACAUAGGAGCCAUAGCCUAACCCACCAGCCACCACUGAGCAGUUCUGUAUGCUUAUACAAUAGGUUUAGAUAUUGACUACCACUAUCUAGAAUUUACAAAAGAUAGCUACUAACCAGCAACAGCAGCAAUCGUAGCCUCAACAGCCAUCGCAAUGGGCUUAUGCACCGAAAGAUCAUGAGGACCCCAUUGCAGCCGAGUCAUCAUUCCUGUUAUCUGAGUUCAAGAUGGGCCCAAUGUAGUCAUUAUUCUCAUCUAUAGAGCACAGGGCGAGAGAGGAGGCACCAAUCCCCAAGCUUGCAGUAUUGGGAGGAAUCGACUCUAGGACAUUCGUCCCAUCACCGAUUAGAGAGGAUCUCCAAAAGGGAGGCCGACCUUUACCAUAGGUUGAAGAAAAUGGAUCACUACCUUGAGACUUUGAGAGGUUACAAUGUGAUGCAGGAGCAGAAGCCCAAGUCAACAAAGACGUACGUGGAGUUUGGCUCCUUACUUGGGCAUGCCCAAAACACAUUGGGUUCACGAGUUCCAGCGCCAAAACACAUUGGGUCCACGAGUUCUAGCGCCAAAACACAUUGGGUCCAAGAGUUACCGUCCAACGAGGACUCUUCAAGCGAUCAACCACUUGGGAUUGCUCAAGCACGCCAUGCAUCAGCCUAGUUCCACUCUGGUUGGGGCUCUACGUGUGCGCCAUUCAGAGGCCAGCGCAACAGCAUGAUUACAUGCCAUUUGGGGCACUCCAAUGGGCGCCCAUUAGUAGCAGAAUUCCACUCGGUUUGAGACUCUUUGAGGGCGCCAACUGGUAGGGAAAAUUUCACUUGCAGAAGGACUAUCCAAAGGGCACCAACCAGCAGAUUUGUUUCACAGUAUUUGGGGCUUUCUAUUGCGUCAACCAUCAGUCCAAAUAGCACCAAUGCGGGGACCUAUUCCACUCAAAGAAGGACUCUCCAUGGGGUGCGUCAAGUUCACGUUUGGAGACUUCACGGACAGCAACCAUGAUGCAGCAUAUGCAUGAGUCUUUAAGAGUCUUAGUUGUUUUGAAAGUUCUGGUCAAUUAGGAGUCUUGAGUUAAGAUGUUUGGGUCUAACAUUGGGCGUUUUCAAUGUUACAUUGAGUUCAAAAUUUUCAGUCCAAAGUUAGAAAGAGUCCUUAAUUAGUUGUUUGCUUGUUGACUCAUUCCAAAACCUGAAUUUACAUUGGGCAUUUGGGUCUUGAGUUAAAGAGUUUGGGUCCAACAUUUUGCGUGUCCAAUGUUACAUUGAGUUCAAAAUUUUCAGUCUAAAGUUAGAAAGAGUUCUUAAUUAA